rnacentral:tRNA from 1 species
GGUGGUUUGGUUCAGUGGGUAGAGCUAAGGGCGGGCGACCGUGAGGUCGGGGGUUCGAUACUCGCGAGAGGCG